rnacentral:rRNA from 1 species
UCCCAGUUCGGACUGCAGCCUGCAACCCGGCUGCACGAAGCCGGAAUCGCUAGUAAUCGCAGAUCAGCAUGCUGCGGUGAAUACGUUCCCGGGUCUUGUACACACCGCCCGUCACACCAUGGGAGUCGGAAAUGCCCGAAGUCAGUGGCCCAACCGGAAGGAGGGAGCUGCCGAAGGCAGGUCCGGUGACUGGGGUGAAGUCGUAACAAGGUAUC